GGGGAUUCUAUGCAACUAACGUGAGGAUUUAAAUUAUCAAUAACAGUCCUGCCUUCAACAUUAAUCCAAUAAACAUGAUAACACUCUACAAGCUAAAAACACAACCACAAACCUCCCUUUAUUAUCCACAAGAAAAAAAAGGGACAGACCGAAAGCCAUCAAAUAAAAACAUAAAAACUAGCUGUUUCAGGCCAUAUAACUUCUUCUUCUUCUUCUUCUUCUUCUUCUUCUUCUUCGCAUAUCUUCAAUUAUGCUGAGGAGGUGGUCCUUUCGACACACCCGGGGGAUUCGGACCCCUCACGCUUGCUACAUAAACUCCUCUAUCCUGAGCAUCCAUCAUCAACCAAACCAUCAGCCAACAUACCACUUAGAAUUUAGAUUUAAUAAGAAAUCAUGACAUAUACUUGUAAAACAGAAAAUUAUAGUUAUAUACUAUCUCUUUAAUAAUAAAACUGCUUGCUUAGGAUAACAAUAAAGCAUGCAACACCUGAGAAGAUUGCAGCUGAGAAAAAUCUACCUCUUUAGUUCCUGAAAGAAACAAAUAUAAAACAACUUUCAGAAGAGCAGAAAACAUAAUGGAAAAAAAUAGUUCUUAAAACGAAAGAAAAAGGGGCAUUGAUCUGCGUACCAUUUGCUUGAGAGUUGCCACCGCCACACCUCUUGACCCGUUCCACCAGGUUGAAGAAGCUCUCCUUCAACUGCUGGACGAGCUUGGCCAUGGAGACUCUUG
rnacentral:lncRNA from 1 species